GGGAGGUAUGUGGACAACCAUGUGUACAUUGAGACACACAAGCAUAUACACACACAUCAGAAUCAGAAUCAGGUUUAUGACACACACAAGGAUUUUGGUUCCAGCUGUUGGUGACUCUCAAAAGCACAGACAUAAAUAAUACUAUACAUUUAGCUUGGACUAUACAAGACAAAAACAAACAAGACAGGAUAAAACAGACUAUUUGAGAAAAUACAGACACUGUGAGACCUGUGUGUGGUUUUACAGCACAACCUCUUUGUCACUGUUUUCUCCUCCCUUUCUCAAAAUGUUACAGCAUCGUGUCAGUAUUUCUCCUUUUUUGAAUUCAAAUAUAAAGUCAGCUUUGUAUUUUCUUGGACCAGGGAUGCCUGAGUUCUCCAUGUAUUUAUAACGUUUAAGAGGUCCUGUGAAGUGCAAUCAUAUUUUUGCUUUGUGCUCAGUUUGGUUUGUCUUUGUGUUCCACAUCAUGUACUGCUUAAAGAACUGGUAUUCUGACAGUAUGACCCUGAACACCAAACCUGAACGCCUGUCCAUCUUCCUCAUCGCCGGUGUGUGUGCAGGUUUUCCAGCUCUUAUUUGGGCUCUCAGUGUACUGUACCACCAUUAUAAAAGCGGAGGUCGAACCUCAGUCUUCGCCGUCUUCCUCCUCCUCAGUGACCUGCUGGAGCUGAUCCUGACUCCAUUCCUUGUAACAUACAUUUUCAAAGAGGACUUUAAUCCAUGUGGAAUCAUUUUUGGACUAUUGUUUGUAACCAGGCUACUUGGGCAUCUGCUUCACCAGACAGUGGCGUUAGAGAGCAUUUGCCAAAGAUAUAGAUUACUUGCUGAUGUUUUCUCUCCUCCCUGCUCUAUCAUCUUCUGCAUCAUUUUUCUUCUAGCAGUUGGCUGUCAUUACAUUACAUAUGUGAUAACUACAAUUGUAUGCAUAUUGCCUGUGAUUGUGUGUGCAGUCACAUACAUAUUAACUUGGAAAGUACUUCAUGACUGUGACCAGGCCACAGACAGAAAGCCUGGUGUGCUGGUUGUAACUGUUGCCAUGUUUACAUUGAUCCUUAUAUACAUACCAUUUUUCUUGACUGUUUUUACUGACUUUCCUUUUAUGUUGGACUGUUUAACAAGCGUGAGAUUAAUCUCUGAUCCCUUCCUGUGUGUACUUGUCUGCAAGGAGGUCAGUUUCAAUUCACACACAGAUCGUAUGCAAGGAUCAUGUGCAUUAAAUUAGCAGCUUUGAAUUAGCAGGACAAACAAUAGGUUGUGUUUUGUGAUGUUAUUGCAGUGUGUAUAUUAUCAGUUUUGCAGAAAUGGAGGUCAACGUACAGAAAUUAUUUACACCAGUCUACAGGCAUUCUUACAAUCCAUUCUAAAGGAACAAAUUGCAUUUGCAAAAAUAUUAGUGUAGUCUCUAUUUCCUUUUUUUUUCUUUCCAGGCAGACCUGUUUUUUUUUCUUUCUUUUUUUUACUUUUUAUUUAUUUUUUUUACAUCAUUUAUGCAUGGGCUUGUGUGAAUGUGUGUAUUGUUAGAACCAGAACUUCUAAGGUUUUAUUUGAAAUAAAAUGUUUAUUUUCAGGCACCUUUAAUUGUACUGAAGGGAAAACUUAUAUCACACAAACACAUUCUAUGUCUUUGUGUAUUCACUGUCAUGAUAAGGACGAUGGGGCAGAUGCAUCCAUCCAGCAGAUGUUAGUGCAUAGUGUAAGAAAACUACUGAAAGGAGACAAAGAAACUGUGGCUGAAACAGUUAUAAAUAUGGAUUUAUACAAACAUCCAUAUUUGUCCAAAUAUGGAUGUUUGGCCAUAUAGAGAUGUAAUUCAGAGGCGAUAGAUUGUGUGUGUGUGUGUGUGUGUGUGUGUGUGUGUGUGUGUGUGUGUGUGUGUGUGAGUGUGUGUUUGUGUGUGAUUGUGCCCUGUGACAAGUUGGCACCCUAUCCAGAAUGUCCCCUGCCUCGUCCCCGGAGUCUCCUAAGACUGGCACCAGGUUCCCCGAAAGCAGAAAGAGCAACAUUCAACAUAAAAAAUAAAAAAAAAUCAUAAUGUUCUGCUUGAAGCUUAACAUGAUGCCCAUAAUGUAUUG